GUAGUUAGCCGGGGCUUCCUCCUUGGCUACCGUCACUUUCUUCGUCACCAAGGACAGAGGUUUACAAUCCGAAGACCUUCUUCCCUCACGCGGCGUUGCUGGGUCAGGCUUGCGCCCAUUGCCCAAUAUUCCCCACUGCUGCCUCCCGUAGGAGUCUGGACCGUGUCUCAGUUCCAGUGUGGCCGAUCAGCCUCUCAGCUCGGCUACCCAUCGUUGGCUAGGUGGGCCGUUACCCCGCCUACUACCUAAUGGGACGCGAACCCCUCCUUCUGCGGAUUGCUCCUUUGACCCCUGAGCCAUGCGACUCUGUGGUCUUAUGCGGUAUUAGCACUUGUUUCCAGGUGUUAUCCCCCUCAAAAGGGCAGGUUGUUCACGCGUUACUCACCCGUUCGCCACUAGCUAUAAAUCCGAAAACCUAUAGCCCGUUCGACUUGCAUGUGUUAGGCACGCCGCCAGCGUUCGUCCUGAGCCAUAAUCAAACUCUGA
rnacentral:rRNA from 1 species